GGCCGGGAGGGUGACGGAUACAACACCCGAAAGGGGAAGAAGUCCGCCGUGCAGGCACGGUUCUUAACCUCCCGGCCACCAAUUU
rnacentral:ncRNA from 1 species